rnacentral:sRNA from 1 species
GCGGGUUAAUUUAUCGGUUCCUGCUUCAGGAUAAUGAUUCUUAACGCCAGUAAUGGAUUAUUUAUCACGUGCGCCGUAAAACCCCGUCCUUCAGGGCGGGGAGGAUGUCAAUAAAACAGGCUC